rnacentral:piRNA from 1 species
CAGAAGUUGGGUGUCAGUGAUGGGAAGAUU